rnacentral:lncRNA from 1 species
AUGUGUGAAAUAAAAGGACAAGAAGUAAGGGUUUUAGUUGAGUCACCUUAACUAUGUUGGUUCAACUUUACACCAAAGGAAGUUCAUGAAUUCUUUUCUAAUUAAUUCUAAAUGGCUUAGACUCUGUGGUGGGAUUAGUUGAAACUUUUGGAAAGAUGUUCUAAUUUUUAACGUUUUCUAUGGAUUGCAACUUGAAGAUGAAAAUUUUGCCUUAGUUGAAUUUUAAUAAAGUUUUUACGUUUGUUAGUUUUUGUAUUUGUUUUCAAGUAUUGUUUU